UACGUAGGGGGCAAGCGUUGUCCGGAUUUAUUGGGCGUAAAGAGCGUGUAGGCGGUCUGGUAGGUCCGUUGUGAAAACUCGAGGCUCAACCUCGAGACGCCGAUGGAAACCAUCAGACUAGAGUCCGGAAGAGGAGAGUGGAAUUCCUGGUGUAGCGGUGAAAUGCGCAGAUAUCAGGAGGAACACCGGUGGCGAAGGCGGGUCUCUGGGCAGUAACUGACGCUGAGGAGCGAAAGCGUGGGGAGCGAACAGG
rnacentral:rRNA from 1 species